UACGGAGGAUCCGAGCGUUAUCCGGAUUUAUUGGGUUUAAAGGGUGCUCAGGCGGGGGGUUAAGUCGGCGGUGAAAUUUUGCAGCUCAACUGUAAAAGUGCCUUCGAAACUGGUUCCCUUGAGUGCGGAUGAGGUAGGCGGAAUUUGUGGUGUAGCGGUGAAAUGCAUAGAUAUCACGAGGAACUCCGAUUGCGCAGGCAGCUUACCAAGCCGUAACUGACGCUCAAGCACGAAGGCGUGGGGAUCAAACAGGAUUAGAUACCCUGGUAGUCCACGCAGUAAACGAUGAUUACUGGCUGUUUGCGAUAUAAUGUAAGCGGCUGAGCGAAAGCGUUAAGUAAUCCACCUGGGGAGUACGUUCGCAAGAAUGAA
rnacentral:rRNA from 1 species